UACCGUGAAGUGACUUGAUAUAGAUAAUAAUAGUUAAUAACGCGAAAACGAAUAAAGAAAUAGUAUCCAGUCAUUGUGAAGAAAUGAUAGGUGGUCUACUAUUAUUGGAAGGAGUUAAUUAAAAAUUAGUGGAUAUCCAUCAGUUGUAAAGAAUUUGAGUAAGAUGCCCAACACUCAACAGAAGGCUUUGAGGAAAGUUAGCAUCAAUGAAGAUAUAGGUCACGAUAACCUGGGCUUUGAAAAUCAUCAUUUUCGGAAAAUCUCUUCGAUUUCCCAUGGUACCCCC